rfam:Gossypium arboreum cultivar AKA8401 contig_53365_3, whole genome shotgun sequence.
AUCUCAUGAUGAGGACACUUACAAAGUAACUCAUUGAAUCACUCCCAAGCCUCAUACAAAAACUCAUCAUCCAAUUAUCGAAAAAUUGUUAUCUUGUUCCUCAACUU